rnacentral:rRNA from 1 species
ACACAUGCAAGUCGAGGGGUAUGGUUCUUCGGAACCAGAGACCGGCGCACGGGUGCGUAACGCGUAUGCAAUCUGCCUUUCACAGAGGGAUAGCCCAGAGAAAUUUGGAUUAAUACCUCAUAGUAUAGCGACAUCGCAUGAUGAUGCUAUUAAAGUCACAACGGUGAAAGAUGAGCAUGCGUCCCAUUAGCUAGUUGGUAAGGUAACGGCUUACCAAGGCAACGAUGGGUAGGGGUCCUGAGAGGGAGAUCCCCCACACUGGUACUGAGACACGGACCAGACUCCUACGGGAGGCAGCAGUGAGGAAUAUUGGUCAAUGGGCGCAAGCCUGAACCAGCCAUGCCGCGUGCAGGAUGACGGUCCUAUGGAUUGUAAACUGCUUUUGCACAGGAAGAAACACUGAUUCGUGAAUCAGCUUGACGGUACUGUGAGAAUAAGGAUCGGCUAACUCCGUGCCAGCAGCCGCGGUAAUACGGAGGAUCCAAGCGUUAUCCGGAAUCAUUGGGUUUAAAGGGUCCGUAGGCGGUCUGGUAAGUCAGUGGUGAAAGCCCAUCGCUCAACGGUGGAACGGCCAUUGAUACUGCUGGACUUGAAUUAUUAGGAAGUAACUAGAAUAUGUAGUGUAGCGGUGAAAUGCUUAGAGAUUACAUGGAAUACCAAUUGCGAAGGCAGGUUACUACUAAUGGAUUGACGCUGAUGGACGAAAGCGUGGGUAGCGAACAGGAUUAGAUACCUUGGUAGUCCACGCCGUAAACGAUGGAUACUAGCUGUUGGAAGCAAUUUCAGUGGCUAAGCGAAAGUGAUAAGUAUCCCACCUGGGGGA